rnacentral:rRNA from 4 species
AUUUGACCUCAAAUCA